rnacentral:rRNA from 1 species
AUUGAACGCUGGCGGCAGGCUUAACACAUGCAAGUCGUGCGGAGACUUCGGUCUUAGCGGCGAACGGGUGAGGAAUGCCUGGGAAUCUGCCUAUUAGUGGGGGAUAACGUUCCGAAAGGAACGCUAAUACCGCAUACGUCCUACGGGAGAAAGCAGGGGACCUUCGGGCCUUGCGCUAAUAGAUGAGCCCAGGUCGGAUUAGCUAGUUGGUGGGGUAAAGGCUCACCAAGGCGACGAUCCGUAGCUGGUCUGAGAGGAUGAUCAGCCACACUGGAACUGAGACACGCACCAGACUCCUACGGGAGGCAGCCGUAGGGAAUAUUGGACGAUGGGCGAAAGGCUGAUACAGCCAUGCCGCGUGUGUGAAGAGGGCCUUCGUGUUGUAAAGCACUUUAAGCGGGGAGGAAGUACUUGGGGCUAAUAUCCCUGAGUGUUGGCGUUACCCGCAGAAUAAGCACCGGCUAACUCUGUGCCAGCCGCCGCCGGAACAC